GGUCCUACGGGACGCAGCAGUGGGGGAUAUUGCACAAUGGGGGAAACCCUGAUGCAGCGACGCCGCGUGGGGGAAGACGGUCCUCUGGAUUGUAAACCACUGUCCCCAGGGACGAAGAUGACGGUACCUGUCGAAUAAGCCACGGCUAACUACGUGCCAGCAGCCGCGGUAAUACGUAGGUGGCAAGCGUUGUCCGGAUUUACUGGGUGUAAAGGGCGUGUAGGCGGGAGAGCAAGUCAGACGUGAAAUUCCAGGGCUCAACCCUGGAACUGCGUUUGAAACUGUUCUUCUUGAGUGAUGGAGAG
rnacentral:rRNA from 1 species